ACUUUAAUUGAAGAGUUUGAUCAUGGCUCAGAUUGAACGCUGGCGGCAGGCCUAACACAUGCAAGUCGAGCGGUAACAGAAAGAAAGCUUGCUUUCUUUGCUGACGAGCGGCGGACGGGUGAGUAAUGCCUGGGAAUAUACCCUGAUGUGGGGGAUAACUAUUGGAAACGAUAGCUAAUACCGCAUAAUCUCUUCGGAGCAAAGAGGGGGACCUUCGGGCCUC
rnacentral:rRNA from 2 species